AGGACCCGCGUCGCAUUAGCUAGUUGGUGAGGUAACGGCUCACCAAGGCAACGAUGCGUAGCCGACCUGAGAGGGUGAUCGGCCACACUGGGACUGAGACACGGCCCAGACUCCUACGGGAGGCAGCAGUAGGGAAUCUUCCGCAAUGGACGAAAGUCUGACGGAGCAACGCCGCGUGAGUGAUGAAGGCUUUCGGGUUGUAAAACUCUGUUGUUAGGGAAGAACAAGUGCUAGUUGAAUAAGCUGGCACCUUGAC
rnacentral:rRNA from 1 species